GGCACAGCUGGAACACCAAAGCAGGAGAGUGCGCUUAUCUAUGUUUAUACCAUAUAUGGAGCUAAUGUGAUAGAACACAUUCAGAGGCGGAGAGAGGGAAAAAUACUAGCUCAGGAAGCAGACUAUAUUAAGUCUGAUCUCUUGCUAAUAGACAGCUUUGCUUGUGCAUGAAUAUGGAGUCCGUGUCGUGAAGCGCCACAAAUGGUGCCCCGUGUGAGGAGCAACGAAUCGACCUAAGAAGGUGAACCGGUGGCGAGCCCCACAGGACUGAAGUGCUGCUGAAAGGAAGCAGGAGCCGGCUGCAAUCCCUCAUCGACUGAGGGUCAGGACCUUGCUGGAUCCCAGCCCGUUGUGUUUGACCGUAUCGGUAUCAACCCUCAACAGAAAAUUCCGCAUCGGAAGAACCAAACCCUACUGAAGGAAAAUGAAGAUGCUCUGUUCGUUGAUUGUA